rnacentral:rRNA from 1 species
CUCAGAACGAACGCUGGCGGCGUGCUUAACACAUGCAAGUCGAACGCGAAAGGGACUUCGGUCCUGAGUAAAGUGGCGCACGGGUGAGUAACGCGUAGAUAACCUGUCUUCAUGUCUGGAAUAAUACGCCGAAAGGGGUACUAAUACCGGAUAUUCUUGCUUUUCAUAAGUUAUGCAAGCAAAGGUGGCCUCUGCAUAUGCUACUGCAUGAAGAGGGGUCUGCGUACCAUUAGCUAGUAGGUGGGGUAAUGGCCUACCUAGGCGACGAUGGUUAGCGGGUCUGAGAGGAUGAUCCGCCACACUGGCACUGGAACACGGGCCAGACUCCUACGGGAGGCAGCAGUGAGGAAUAUUGCGCAAUGGGGGAAACCCUGACGCAGCGACGCCGCGUGAAGUGAGGAAGGCCUUCGGGUCGUAAAGCUCUGUCAAGAGGAAAGAAGUGUACAAUGGCUAAUACCUGUUGUAUUUGACGGUACCUCUAAAGGAAGCACCGGCUAACUCCGUGCCAGCCGCCGC